GACGAACGCUGGCGGCGUGCUUAACACAUGCAAGUCGAACGGUGAAGCGCCUUCCUUUUUGGUGGGUGUGGAUGAGUGGCGAACGGGUGAGUAACACGUGAGUAACCUGCCCCCUUCUUCUGGAUAACCGCAUGAAAGUGUGGCUAAUACGGGAUAUUCUGGGUCUGUCGCAUGAUGGGUCUGGGAAAGAUAUUGUUUCGGUGGGGGAUGGUCUCGCGGCCUAUCAGCUUGUUGGUGGGGUGAUGGCCUACCAAGGCGGUGACGGGUAGCCGGCCUGAGAGGGUGGACGGUCACACUGGGACUGAGACACGGCCCAGACUCCUACGGGAGGCAGCAGUGGGGAAUAGUGCACAGUGGGCGCAAGCCUGAUGCAGCGACGCCGCGUGAGGGAUGGAGGCCUGCGGGUUGUGAACCUCUUUCGCCAGUGAAGCAGGCCUGCCUCGUUUGUGGGUGGGUUGACGGUAGCUGGAUAAGAAGCGCCGGCUAACUACGUG
rnacentral:rRNA from 1 species